rnacentral:rRNA from 1 species
UCCACGCCGUAAACGAUGGGUACUAGGUGUUGGAGGUAUCGACCCCUUCAGUGCCGCAGCAAACGCAUUAAGUACCCCGCCUGGGGAGUACGGUCGCAAGACUGAAACUCAAAGGAAUUGACGGGGGCCCGCACAAGCGGUGGAGCAUGUGGUUUAAUUCGACGCAACGCGAAGAACCUUACCAGGACUUGACAUCCCGUGCAAUCUGUAGAAAUACAGAGUUCCCUUCGGGGACGCGGAGACAGGUGGUGCAUGGUUGUCGUCAGCUCGUGUCGUGAGAUGUUGGGUUAAGUCCCGCAACGAGCGCAACCCCUGUACUUAG